rnacentral:lncRNA from 1 species
CCUUAAUGCGGCUGUACAGAGAGUAUUUAACUAUCGAAUUGACUGCAAGAUGAUACGAAGCCUAGACUUCAUUACGCCAUGUAAUUUGCAAUGUUUGUCGUAUUUGCUAAGGUCCAGAUGUAGUAAAAAAGACGAUAAAAAUCACGCCUAGAACUCGCUUGCAGAUUUUACAGUCGGGAUGUGUUAUUAUUAUAACGGAUUAAGCGCGUUUUGUGUUUAAAAUCGUGACAUCAAACUACUACCAAGCUUUCUUCGAGCCGAAAAAAUCCGCCGCUUCGAUACUUGUGUGUAAGCUUGAAAGAGGUCAAAUAAGGUUUUUGAAAAACUGCGGAUCACAGGAGCGUCGGUUGUAAAAUAUACAUGAUCGCUGCGAUACGUUAUGCAAUUGGUGUGGAUCACGUGUCGCAAUCGCUGAAUCGAAUUCGCAUUCGCACGGGGUAGAGAUAAUCUCAAGGAAAAUGCUGAUGCUGAACGAUGAAAGGCGGAGAAAGAAAACACGGACAAUUCGCAUCAUGCUUCCACGAGUCCAGCUCAGAGUUGUGCAUGAUACUUAUAAUUGUCAGUUACUCUGGCCAAUAUGGUAAAGCGUUGACUGAAGAAUAUAACGACGGAUACCUUUUUCUGGUGGGCCUGGGAGCAUAGGAGGGUUCUGCUUUAUCGACUCUACGUAACGAGCAUGCAGCCGCCACGGAGUAGCAGCCAAAGUAGCGUCGGUAUGGAAGCUUGAGAUUAAUUGGAGAGAUGGAAAUCAGCUUCGUAAAACUACGAGUGUAUUUUAACUAAAACUUGAAAGGUACGAGCAAAAAUUGUUUUCAUCCAACUGUCGCAGAACGGCAGCGUUAUUAGCUGACCCGUUAACUGAAGAAUAUAUCUUUGGUCAACGGCUGACCGUCGGAGGGCCGAGCCGCUUCAGUCUGCAAUCGGCAGGAGAGAUAUGCUGCGUAUUUCUUGUCUGAAAUCUGAAGACUAAAUAAUUACACAUCAUAUCAUAUCACCAUAUAUCAUACAUCAUACAUCAUACAUCAUCAUACA